UGAAUAUAGAUACUUACUAUAUAUAAGAAUUGUUCUAGGUGUCACAAUUUUUUUUAAGUGAAUUAAAAACUGUCCUUUUUCCCUUAUGGAUAUCAUAAGCUAGCAGUAGGUGACAAAAAUGUAAACAAAAAAACCCACAUAGCAUUAUAGGUGCUAUGAGAGAGGUCUAAAUGGAGUACGGCGGAGGUAAUCAAGGAGAGAGUGUAAGAUCUGACCUGGCAGGAGGUGAGAAGGGUUCAAGGAAUGUUUUAUGACAGAGACAGAGUUUAAGUUAAAUCUUGACAGGUAAAGUCGUCUUCACUAGGAAGACAAGUUCUACUGUAGUGAUUAUUGGAUAUGAUUUAUCAACACCUAUCAACACUUAUCUACCUACAAGUGUAGAAAGUGUAGCAGUAAAAAGCUUAAUAUUGAAAGUACUCUUCAUUUUUUAUUGUACGAUAUGUAUGCUUUUAAACCUAUGUGGUUUCUAAUUAAAUGCUUAGGACUCCCAAGCAGAAUCCAGAGAGUGUCUUUAGAAUGAAAAGCUGUACUUUAGUGAUUGAGUCAGUAAUAUAUUAAUUAUCAUUUUGAACUAGCUUGCUGUUGUCUAUUUAUUGGCCUUCUCAUAAAGUAUAUCAUUUAAAUUUAUUGGGAUGGAUUCUCCUUGUAGCAUGUAACAAGCUAUUAAAAACAGUGCCAGUGAAUAAAACAAUUACCCAAAAUCAUGGCUACCAGCUGAGCCAGAGGCUUGAUGGGUUAGUUGUCUGGAAAGCAGUGGCUAUGACAAGAUGGCUUUAUUUAAACCUCUUACAGCCCUGUGCAGAGGCACAAAGAAAACUCAUUUGCAUAUUGUCAGCUUUGUAUUAGAAAACAGACUGGGGGUGAAUUUAAAAGAAAGAUAAUGUCAAAAGAUUUUACAAAGGGACUUGAAGAAAGGUGGAAAAAGAGAAAUCAACAAUUGAAGAAAAGUGGAAAAAGAGAAUCUGCUACAUUUUUAUAUAUAAUCUCAUUUAACCCAAAUAUAGCACUAUAAGUGAAAUGUCAUUGUAUAUAUAUUUAUAUUUAAUACUUGAUGUAAUAGGUUCUGAGAUAUUAAUCAACUAGAAAAAGAAUACAUAGCUAAGCAGACGAACUGAGAUGUAAACCAGACUUAUCUAACACUGAAGUCCAAACAUCUAUAUUCUACCAAGUUGUAGGUACUCAUAUUUAAUUGAUAUCAUUAUUACUAUCAUUAUCAUCAUUGUUACAUAGUGAUUUGAAUUAUAGGAAAACAAAACAGACUGCUCCAAAAAAGUGACAAGAUGAAGUGUUUCGCCCCUAAAAUUUCUUUUUGUAAAAAGCUUUUUAUUAUGAUUUAUUUGAGAGAGAGGGUAAGGGAACAAGUAAGGGGGAGGGAGAAAAGGAGUGGGAGAAGCAGACUCCUCACUGAGCAGGGAGCCCAACUCAGGCUCAAUCCCAGAACCUUAAGAUCAUGACCUAAGCCAAAGGCAGCCACUUAACUGAGCCACACAGGUGCCCCUUUUUUGCCCCUAAAAUUUCUAAAGAAGGGCCAGAUGACCAUAGAUAAAAAAGGAGAUUUCUGUAUACAGAGGAAGUUCAGACUAAAAAAUCCUUCCCACUUUUUCUAAUUCUUCUUUCUCCAUUAUAUUGCAUGUGGCUUACUCUCUAUCCAUUUGAGAUUACUUCCUGAUAUUUAAAAAUAUCACUUUCAAGAAUCUUUAUCCAUUCUGGUAUUGUUUCUUCUUCAAAUGCUUUCUUAGUUUAUGAACUACUUUUGCCUUGAGACUGAACUACUUGUUUUUGACUCCUCUUGCUUACGCCUCCCUACCCAGCUAGAUUUAGGGCAUUCUCUCUCUCUCUCUCUCUCUCUUUUAAAUUUCCACUGUAUUUUAUUUUAUUUUAUUUUAUUUUAUUUUAUUUUAUUUUAUUUUAUUUAUUUUAUUUUAUUUUUUCCACUGUAUUUUAAACAUAUUUUUAUUAUUGUUUUACUCUUACUUAUCAGAGAUAACAUAUGUGUUUCCAAAUCUACAUUAUAAGCACUGAGCUUAUAUUAUAAGCUCAUUGGGGAUCAAGAGGAAGUUAUUAAAAAUUAUUAGAGACAAAAUAAAAAACUUAACAGCCUUCUCUGGGGUUGGGAGUGGGGGAAUCUACAAAGCCAAAAUUGCUUCUCAAAUGGAUAGAGAGUAAGCCACAUGCAGUAUGAUGGAGAAAGAAAGAAUUAGAAAAAGUGGGAAGGACUUUUUAGUCUAAACUUGCUUUCUAUACAGAAAUCUGCCAAAAUUGCUUUGUAGAUUCCAAAGACAUGAACACUGCUAUCCCAUAAAGCCAGUGUCACCAUUCACUUUUCUAGACUAUAUUUCUAACUCUGUCUAGUCAUAUUCCUUAAACUAUGCCUUCUUUAUUCCUAUAUAUGGAAGUUUGCUUAUAUUCUGUGACUUCUCAGAAUAAUCUACCUCAGAGAUGUCAAGUAAGUUGCCUACACAAUAUUAAGAUGGUUGAAGGUAGCUGCCUGGGUGUUAGUACAAUAAGAAGGGUGACUCUAUAUGUGUCAAAGAACACCAUGAGGACUCAAAAAGUAUCUAUAUGAGUAAAGACGGGGGCAACAUGUGUGCCUAUGCUGGUGAUCUUAAUGCUGUAUCUUGCAUUUUCCUCAUUCAAAGAUCCCCUCCUAAAACUUUCACUUGACUAGAAAAGACCACAUUAAAGCCACUAAUAAAAAUGCAAAGAAAAAGAAAAAAA
rnacentral:lncRNA from 1 species